ensembl:lncRNA
AUGAAUAUCCAUCAUGUUCUCUUUUUCUGCUUUUUAUCAGGUUCACUGUGUGAUGAAGACGAUGGUUCUCCAAGGCACAUUCGAGGUACUGAGGGAGAAAGUAUCAGCGUCGGAUUCUCCUUUCCGUUAGUGGAAAUCGGCAGGAAGUUCUUAUGUAGGGCAGAAUGCAAAGAGGAGGAUGUUCUCGUUGAAACGCGUGGGUUUGAAAAGCAGAAAGGCAGGUACGGCCUCAAAUAUGAGAGAAACUCACAGCUGUUGUAUGUGAGCAUCGCACAGCUGAGGAAGUCUGACGCGGGAUGGUACAGGUGUGGAGUGAGAAGACCUUUACUUCCAGAUUCAUAUGAAGAAUUUGAAGUCAGCAUUACAGACUUUCCGAUCACUACCCCUGAAACCAGCAAGGAGUCUGCAAGUACAGUCAGCAGUUACCGUGUUUGUCUCCUUAAUCCUUAAUAAAAUUCAAAUACAACAACGUUAUUGUCCAAAAUGUCUGUUUCAACUAAUAUUAUCAUGACAGAAGCACGUAGAGGAUUUUAUAUAAUGUUUGCAGGAUGCUAGACAUCUUUUUAUUAAACAAUCCAUCUAUGUCUCACAAGAAUGAGUCAGUUCUUUGAUGUCCUUUAUUUGAUCAGGUUCGAGUCCUCCUGUCCUCCUGGUGUUGGGUGUGUGUGUACCUGUGGUAGUGGUGGCUGUGCUGUUGGCUGUUGUUCUGCUGUUCCUCCACAAAAAGAAGACGAGGGGAAUCUUGGAGUGCACCAAGACUGAGGUGACUUUCUUCAACUCAUCUGUCUUGCUUUACUCUCGCUGUCUGCUGUUAAGAUGGCUGCUGCUGCACUGGGGGAAGAAAGAAAACAAAGCAGUCAAGUGUAUUUGCAGUUUUCAAAACAUGUUCUGUGAAUCUCACCCAACAGCCCUGACAACCAACUAAUGAUAGAGCAAGUGAUAAAUAAAUACAAGUGUAACAUUUAGGAGGAUCUAUUGUCAGAAAUGGAAUAUAAUAUUCAUAAGUAUGUUUUUUAUUAGUGUAUAAUUACCUCAAAACAACAAUGGUUGUGUAUUCAUUACCAGAAUGGGCCAAUUUGAUCUUAUUGUUAUUGCCAUGUUGAACUGCUAUGUUUCUACAGUAGCACAGAAUGGACAAACCAAACACCGGAUCUAGAUUGAGCCUUUUUGGUUUUGCACUUUUCGAAGCUACUGUAGUUUCUCCUUUGCAUUUUGGAAGGGGAGGGUGAGGUGUGGGCAAUGCAAUCUACCACUACACUGCUAGAUGCCACUAAUUCUUACACACUGGUCCUUUUAAAAUUUGCAAUUGUAUGUAUUUAGUUCUAUAAACUUAAAACAAAAAAGAAAAAAAAACUGUACUGAGAAUCUUUUUAUAAAAUUAAUAAAUUUAUAAAACUCUGACUGCAAUGUAAUUGAGAAUUAUAACUAUAGAUAUCUCUCUGUCUCUCUCUGUCUCUGUCUGUCUGUCUGUCUGUCUGUCUGUCUGUCUGUCUGUCUCUCUCUCUCUCUCUCUCUCUCUCUCUCUCUCUCUCUCUCUCUCUCUCUCUCUCUCAGUGUGGUUGUGGUUGCUGUUGUAGCUUUCGAGGUUAAAGGUUUACCACAACGUUUAUUUUGAUCUGUGUUUAUGUUAAAGUGUGCUUAUUGAUCAGUUUACUUCAACAUAAUGACCUAGUAUCACAAAGUCAUUAUUUUUAGCUGUUAUGUCAGUAUUUUGAGAAAGUUUCUCAUUAUAAUAACUUACAGA